UCAACGGAGAGUUUGAUCCUGGCUCAGGACGAACGCUGGCGGCGUGCUUAACACAUGCAAGUCGAACGAUGAAGCCCAGCUUGCUGGGUGGAUUAGUGGCGAACGGGUGAGUAACACGU
rnacentral:rRNA from 1 species